GGUGAAGCCAAGCUUGCUUGGUGGAUCAGUGGCGAACGGGUGAGUAACACGUGAGCAACCUGCCCUGGACUCUGGGAUAAGCGCUGGAAACGGCGUCUAAUACUGGAUAUGAGCUCUCAUCGCAUGGUGGGGGUUGGAAAGAUUUUUCGGUCUGGGAUGGGCUCGCGGCCUAUCAGCUUGUUGGUGAGGUAAUGGCUCACCAAGGCGUCGACGGGUAGCCGGCCUGAGAGGGUGACCGGCCACACUGGGACUGAGACACGGCCCAGACUCCUACGGGAGGCAGCAGUGGGGAAUAUUGCACAAUGGGCGGAAGCCUGAUGCAGCAACGCCGCGUGAGGGAUGACGGCCUUCGGGUUGUAAACCUCUUUUAGCAGGGAAGAAGCGAGAGUGACGGUACCUGCAGAAAAAGCGCCGGCUAACUACGUGCCAGCAGCCGCGGUAAUACGUAGGGCGCAAGCGUUAUCCGGAAUUAUUGGGCGUAAAGAGCUCGUAGGCGGUUUGUCGCGUCUGCUGUGAAAUCCCGAGGCUCAACCUCGGGCCUGCAGUGGGUACGGGCAGACUAGAGUGCGGUAGGGGAGAUUGGAAUUCCUGGUGUAGCGGUGGAAUGCGCAGAUAUCAGGAGGAACACCGAUGGCGAAGGCAGAUCUCUGGGCCGUAACUGACGCUGAGGAGCGAAAGGGUGGGGAGCAAACAGGCUUAGAUACCCUGGUAGUCCACCCCGUAAACGUUGGGAACUAGUUGUGGGGACC
rnacentral:rRNA from 1 species